rnacentral:ncRNA from 1 species
AACGACCGGUCGGACAUCAGUAUGUCCGACCACCAAGUGGAGGCUCCGAUCUCCCACCUGAUCGGCCGGAAGGCCGAUGGGUCCCGGUCAGACGGCAAUCACCGGUAGGACGCCGGUGGGCCCCGUUGAUGCGCCCCGCGGAAUAACGCGGCGGUGCUCCCGGUUGUGAGGAGCCCCGCCUGUGUCCCGUACGGGGCGUUUUCU